rnacentral:rRNA from 1 species
GAAAGUAAGUAAGGGCGUAUGGGGGAUGCCUAGGCUCUUGGAGGCUAAGAAGGACGUGGUAAGCUGCGAAAAGCUGCGGGGAUUUGCAAACGAGACUCGAUCCGCAGAUAUCCGAAUGGGACAACCCGGCAGGUAGAAGACCUGUCACACCGCGAGGUGAGCUAACCCUCUGAACUGAAACAUCUAAGUAGGAGGAGGAAAAGAAAGAAACAUCGAUUUCCAAAGUAGCGGCGAGCGAAAUGGAAGAAGCCCAAACCGAUAUUGUUACGGCAAUAUCGGGGUUGUAGGACUGCAAUAUUCAAUUAACAAUGAACUGGAAUGGUCUGGAAAGUCCAUCCAUAGAGAGUGAAAGGCUCGUACAGGUAAGUUUGUUAUGCGAAAGCAGUAUCCUGAGUAUGGCGGGACACGAGGAAUCCUGUCAGAAUCAGCCGGGACCACCCGGUAAGGCUAAAUACUCCCAAGAGACCGAUAGUGGACCAGUACUGUGAAGGAAAGGUGAAAAGAACCCCGAACAGGGGAGUGAAAUAGAACCUGAAACCAUACGCUUACAACCGGUCGGAGCAGCUUCGUGCUGUGACGGCGUGCCUAUUGAAUAAUGAGCCUACGAGUUACUAAUCACUAGCGAGGUUAAGUGCAAGGAUGCACGGAGCCGAAGCGAAAGCGAGUCUGAACAGGGCGUUUAGUUAGUGGUUGUAGACGCGAAACCUUGCGAUCUACCCUUGAGCAGGUUGAAGGUUGGGUAAAACCAACUGGAGGACCGAACGAAUAAGCGUUGAAAAGCUUCUCGAUGACUUGAGGGUAGGGGUGAAAGGCUAAUCAAGCUGGGAAAUAGCUCGUACUCCCCGAAAUGCCUUUUGGGGCAGCGUUGUAAUAAAGAGUCUACUGGAGGUAGAGCUACUGAUUGGAUGCGGGGGCUUCACCGCCUACCAAAUCCUGACAAACUCCGAAUGCCAGUAGUAUGAUUUACAGCAGUGAGUGACUGGGUGCUAAUGUCCAGUCGCAAAAGAGGAACAACUCAGACCAGCAACUAAGGUCCCGAAGAAUAUGCUAAGUUGAUCUAACGAUGUUUUGUUGCAGAGACAGCUAGGAUGUUAGCUUGGAAGCAGCUAUUCAUUCAAAGAGUGCGUAACAGCUCACUAGUCGAGCGACAGAGCGUGGAUAAUAAACGGGCAUCAAGCAUAUCACCGAAGUUCUGGGCGCGAGAGCGCGGUAGGGGAGCAUUCCAUUCAGCGUCGAAGCAGUUUCGUGAGGAAUUGUGGAGCGUAUGGAAAAGCAAAUGUAGGCAUGAGUAACGAUAAUGCGGGAGAGUAACCCGCACACCGCAAGACCAAGGUUUCCUGAUCAACGCUAAUCGGAUCAGGGUUAGUCGGGUCCUAAGGGUAAGCCGAACGGCGAUCUCGAUGGAUAAUCGGUUAAUAUUCCGAUACUAACAUAUACCUCGAUGGAGAGACGAAGGAACGUAAGUGCCGCCACCUGACGGAAUAGGUGGUUAAAGGGCGUAGAUAUAGGGGCAGAUUAAGAGUUAGUCCUUGCUGAAACCUGACAGUACAGAGAGCCUACGGGCAAUUUGAUAGAGCACCCAAGUCGACUUCCGAGAAAAUCUUCUAAGUUAUAGUAUAUGUUACCCGUACCGUAAACCGACACAGGUGGUCGAGGAGAGUAUCCUAAGGUGCUCGAGUGAAUCACGGUUAAGGAACUAGGCAAAUUAACCCCGUAACUUCGGGAAAAGGGGUCCCUAUGAAAGUAGGGCGCAGCGAAGAGGUCCAGGCGACUGUUUAUCAAAAACACAGGGCUCUGCAAAUUCGAAAGAAGACGUAUAGGGCCUGACACCUGCCCGGUGCUGGAAGGUUAAGAGGGGAUGUCAUCGCAAGAGAAGCAUUGAAUCGAAGCCCCAGUAAACGGCGGCCGUAACUAUAACGGUCCUAAGGUAGCGAAAUUCCUUGUC